AACGAACGCUGGCGGCAGGCCUAACACAUGCAAGUCGAGCGAGGACUUCGGUCCUAGCGGCGGACGGGUGAGUAACGAGUGGGAACGUGCCCUUUGCUACGGAAUAGCCCCGGGAAACUGGGAGUAAUAACGUACGGGCCCUUCGGGGGACAGAUUUAUCGGGAAAGGAUCGGCCCGCGUUGGAUUAGGUAGUUGGUGGGGUAAUGGCCUACCAAGCCGACGAUCCAUAGCUGGUUUGAGAGGAUGAUCAGCCACACUUGGACUGAGAAACAGCCCAGACUCCUACGGGAGGCAGCAGUGGGUAAUCUUAGACAAUGGGGGAAACCCUGAUCUAGCCAUGCCGCGUGAGCGAUGAAGGCCUUAGGGUUGUAAAGCUCUUUCAGUGGGGAAGAUAAUGACGGUACCCACAGAAGAAGCCCCGGCUAACUCCGUGCCAGCCGCCGCGGUAAGAC
rnacentral:rRNA from 1 species